CGCCUGCCCCGUGACAAAGGUUUAACGGCCGCGGUAUUCUGACCGUGCAAAGGUAGCGCAAUCACUUGUCUUUUAAAUGAAGACCUGUAUGAAUGGCAUAACGAGGGCUUAACUGUCUCCUUUCCCCAAUCAAUGAAAUUGAUCUCUUCGUGCAGAAGCGAGGAUGAAUUCAUAAGACGAGAAGACCCUAUGGAGCUUUAGAUACCAAGACAGAUCUUGUUAAACACCUCAAAAUAACGAAAAAAACUAAAAGAAUCCUGCCCUAUUAUCUUUGGUUGGGGCGACCGCGGGGAAACAAAUAACCCCCAUGUGGACUGAGAAGACAAUUCUCACAACUAAGAGCCACAGCUCUAGCUAGCAGAACUUCUGACCUUUAAGAUCCGGCAAUGCCGAUCAACGGACCGAGUUACCCUAGGGAUAACAGCGCAAUCCUUUUUUAGAGUUCAUAUCGACAAAAGGGUUUACGACCUCGAUGUUGGAUCAGGACAUCCUAAUGGUGCAGCCGCUAUUAAGGGUUCGUUUGUUCAACGAUUAAAGUCCU
rnacentral:rRNA from 1 species